rnacentral:rRNA from 1 species
ACGAACGCUGGCGGCGUGCUUAACACAUGCAAGUCGAACGGAAAGGCCCUGCUUUUGUGGGGUGCUCGAGUGGCGAACGGGUGAGUAACACGUGAGUAACCUGCCCUUGACUUUGGGAUAACUUCAGGAAACUGGGGCUAAUACCGGAUAGGAGCUCCUGCUGCAUGGUGGGGGUUGGAAAGUUUCGGCGGUUGGGGAUGGACUCGCGGCUUAUCAGCUUGUUGGUGGGGUAGUGGCUUACCAAGGCUUUGACGGGUAGCCGGCCUGAGAGGGUGACCGGCCACAUUGGGACUGAGAUACGCCCCAGACUCCUACGGGAGGCAGCAGUGGGGAAUAUUGCACAAUGGGCGGAAGCCUGAUGCAGCAACGCCGCGUGCGGGAUGACGGCCUUCGGGUUGUAAACCGCUUUCGCCUGUGACGAAGCGUGAGUGACGGUAAUGGGUAAAGAAGCACCGGCUAACUACGUG